GACGAACGCUGGCGGCGUGCUUAACACAUGCAAGUCGAACGGUAAGGCCCUUCGGGGUACACGAGUGGCGAACGGGUGAGUAACACGUGGGUGAUCUGACCUGCACUUCGGGAUAAGCCUGGGGAACUGGGUCUAAUACCGGAUAGGACUCCGGACUGCAUGGUCUGGGGUGGAAAGCUUUUGCGGUGUGGGAUGGGCCCGCGGCCUAUCAGCUUGUUGGUGGGGUGAUGGCCGACCAAGGCGAAGACGGGUAGCCGGGCUGAGAGGGUGACCAGCCACACUGGGACUGAGAUAGCGGCCAGACUCCUACGGGGGGCAGCAGUGGGGAAUAUUGCACAAUGGGCGCAAGCCUGAUGCAGCGACGCCGCGUGAGGAAUGACGGCCUUCGGGUUGUAAACCUCUUUCAGCAUCGACGAAGCGAAAGUGACGGUAGGUGCAGAAGAAGGACCGGCCAACUACGUGCCAGCCGCCGCCGUAA
rnacentral:rRNA from 1 species